rnacentral:rRNA from 1 species
UGGGGAAUAUUGCACAAUGGGCGCAAGCCUGAUGCAGCCAUGCCGCGUGUAUGAAGAAGGCCUUCGGGUUGUAAAGUACUUUCAGCGGGGAGGAAGGUGUUGAGGUUAAUAACCUCAGCAAUUGACGUUACCCGCAGAAGAAGCACCGGCUAACUCCGUGCCAGCAGCCGCGGUAAUACGGAGGGUGCAAGCGUUAAUCGGAAUUACUGGGCGUAAAGCGCACGCAGGCGGUCUGUCAAGUCGGAUGUGAAAUCCCCGGGCUCAACCUGGGAACUGCAUUCGAAACUGGCAGGCUAGAGUCUUGUAGAGGGGGGUAGAAUUCCAGGUGUAGCGAUGAAAUGCGUAGAGAUCUGGAGGAAUACCGGUGGCGAAGGCGGCCCCCUGGACAAAGACUGACGCUCAGGUGCGAAAGCGUGGGGAGCAAACA